GAUGAAGAACGUAGCGAAAUGCGAUAAGUAAUGUGAAUUGCAGAAUUCAGUGAAUCAUCGAGUCUUUGAACGCACAUUGCGCCCCCUGGUAUUCCGAGGGGCAUGCCUGUCCGAGCGUCAUUGCUGCCCUCAAGCACGGCUUGUGUGUUGGGCCCCCGCCCCCCGGCUUCGGGGGGCGGGCCCGAAAGGCAGCGGCGGCACCGCGUCCGGUCCUCGAGCGUAUGGGGCUUCGUCACCCGCUCUGUAGGCCCGGCCGGCGCCCGCCGGCGACCCCAAUCAAUCUUUCCAGGUUGACCUCGGAUCAGGUAGGGAUACCCGCUGAACUUAAGCAUAUCAAUAAGCGGAGGA
rnacentral:misc_RNA from 1 species